GACGAAGGGGGCUAGCGUUGUUCGGAAUUACUGGGCGUAAAGCGUGUGUAGGUGGUUGCCAUAGUCAGGUGUGAAAGCCUUGAGCUCAACUCAAGAAAUGCACUUGAUACUGGGCAGCUAGAGGACCGGAGAGGAUAGUGGAAUUCCCAGUGUAGUGGUGAAAUACGUAGAGAUUGGGAAGAACACCAGUGGCGAAGGCGGCUAUCUGGACGGUUUCUGACACUAAGACACGAAAGCGUGGGGAGCAAACAGGG
rnacentral:rRNA from 1 species